GUGUUGUAUGAAAGGAGAGAAGGCCAGUACUUCCCUGACAAGGAUGGAAGAGGCCCUCAGGCCUGACAACACACGUACAAGUAAGGCAUUGCCACCUACUUUGUGGCAUGCAACCAUCAUUUUUA